UCCGGCUUAACGCCGGCGGUCUCCAUAGAGUGCCCAACUAAAUGAUGGCAACUAGGGAUAGGGGUUGCGCUCGUUAAGGGACUUAACCCGACAUCUCACGAUACGAGCUGACGACAGCCAUGCAGCACCUGAACCGCAAGUGUAUUGCUACAAAGAUGCAUCUCUGCACCGGUCUUGCGUUGUCUAACCCAGGUAAGGUUCUUCGCGUUGCAUCGAAUUAAACCACAUGCUCCACCGCUUGUGCGGGCCCCCGUCAAUUCCUUUGAGUUUUAAUCUUGCGACCGUACUUCCCAGGCGGGGUACUUAAUGCGUUAGCUGCGGCACUGUAGGGGUCAAUUCCCACAACACCUAGUACCCAUCGUUUACAGCGUGGACUAC
rnacentral:misc_RNA from 1 species